UGACAGAGUGAGAGAGGGGGUGAAUAGUGACCGAGUGAGGGAGGAAGAGGGUGACUAGUGACAGAGUGAGGAAGGGGGUGACACAGUGAUAGUCACCCCAUUCCUCCCUCUGUCACUAAUCACCACCUCCCUCACUCGUCACCCCUUCCCUCCCUCACUCUGUCACUAGUCACACCCUCCCUCUCUCUGUCACUAGUCACCCCCUCCCUCUCUCUGUCACU